GAUGAACGCUGGCGGCGUGCUUAACACAUGCAAGUCGAACGAUGAAGCCCAGCUUGCUGGGUGGAUUAGUGGCGAACGGGUGAGUAACACGUGAGUAACCUGCCCUUGACUCUGGGAUAAGCGCUGGAAACGGCGUCUAAUACCGGAUACGAGCUUCCACCGCAUGGUGAGUUGCUGGAAAGAAUUUCGGUCAAGGAUGGACUCGCGGCCUAUCAGGUAGUUGGUGAGGUAACGGCUCACCAAGCCGACGACGGGUAGCCGGCCUGGGAGGGUGACCGGCCACACUGGGACUGAGACACGGCCCAGACUCCUACGGGAGGCAGCAGUGGGGAAUAUUGCACAAUGGGCGCAAGCCUGAUGCAGCAACGCCGCGUGAGGGACGAAGGCCUUCGGGUCGUAAACCUCUUUUAGCAGGGAAGAAGCGAAAGUGACGGUACCUGCAGAAAAAGCACCGGCUAACUACGUG
rnacentral:rRNA from 1 species